AGGUGAAGGUAGAAAGUAUGUGUGAGCUGAUGUGAAUCCAGCAGAAUGGAUCAGUGUGAGGACAGAGAGGAGGGAGUCCCUCCCUCUAAAACCACUGUGAGAGAGUCAAAUGAGAUGUUCAUGAAGAAGUGUGAGGCUCAGAGUGUCCAUCAGACACCAGAAUGUAAACACAAACCUGAUCCCAGCUGUGUGUCUAUGAAGAGUGACCAGUCCAUGGAACGUCCGCUAAGAUUUGAGUCUUGUAGAGUGAAGCAGCAGAGUUUAAAUGUUCUCAGUGAUCAGUCUGUUCAUCAGCAUCAAAC